AUGGGAGGCUGCGGCACGGCGAUGGGAGGAGACGCCAAGGCAUCGGCGAAUACGACGACGUCGAAGGCUCACACGGCAUCAUCGGCAACAGUUGAUGCUCCAGAUCCAGCUGCCAAGGUCAACGACAAGCUCUGCCUCAACUGCAACCUUCCAGGUCACUUUGCUCCACGCUGUCCUACUGUUCGUUGUGAGAAAUGCAAUAAGCUUGGGCAUAUGGCGCAGUUGUGUCAAACACUGAGGCCGUGGGAGUGCGUGCCUUUUCUCUGUGGAUUCCAAUCCCCUGGGCAGGGCUUUUUCUAUAUCCCUGAUAUGUGUGCUGCUAAAAAGAAUGAGAAAACGAACAAUGUGAUGAUUUCUAUUGUGGAGGGGAGUGCCACAGCUAAAGAAAUUGAGUCUGAGUUUAAUGGUUUCUUUGCUCAUAAGCCUGGUAAAAAUAAAUGGAGUUGUACAGCUCGUCCCAUUGGUCAUAAUCAAUUUGUGAUGAGAUUUCCUAAUUCCAGUGAGGUGGAGAGGGCUUGUUGCUAUGGGAAACGCCUACCUGUGAAAGAUGGGGCUGCUGUGGUCAAUGUAAAGCCCUGGUCAGCUUCAGUUGGUGCUGAAGGGGAGAUGGAAAAAAGCCUGGGUUAG
rnacentral:rRNA from 1 species